GGGGCUAAAGGAGAGACUUUGCUGACCAAAAGAUUUUGAAGAAACAAGAUGUCUGGAUCUAACAAGGGAGUGACUGGAUUGUGCAUCAUGCUAGGAAACGCUGGGCAAAAGAUUGAACUGCUUUGGUUUUCUUGCCUAUACGUGAGCCGAGGAAGAGGUAUAAUGAGUUUCGGUUAAGACUCUGUUGAAAAAUACCCUAUGGAAAUAACUGAAAAUGGAUUUUUUUUAAUCACAAUUUGUACCACCUUACAAGAUUUGAACAGUGAAUUUGCCAGCAAUUAAUACAAUAGGUAGAGAUGACAGAGAAAAUAGUUUUUCAUUUGAUUAACUACAGAUGUCAGUGUGCAUGCAUGCCAAACUGUUCCUCAACUUUGGAAACAAUCUUCCCCUCUAUAGGAAGAGAAAUAACAGCAGGAGAUGGACACUGACUACAGGACCUGGAAGGUGUUUCAGGUUACUUGAAGGCAAAUCCAAGCCAAUCAAUUGUUAGAUACUUAGUAGUUGUUAAUUGCAUCACUUUCUGUCACAGCACAGCUGUGCUGCUGUAAUUUGGUUUCUGCUGCACAAAACCUGUGCUUAUUUAUAGCUUGUAUAAUUGCACACUAGAAUGGCUUUAGAUAGUGAGGAGAUUAAUCAAUCAGUAGUGGCUAGCACUUUCUUAAGCAGACAAAAAAGAUCCAACGGUCCAGGGUGGACCUUUGAGACACUGAAAGAACCUAACUGCCAUGGACCAUGGCGGAAAAAUUUGGAGGGAAUUCUAAGGUGCAGAGGACAUCUCUUUGCUGUGGACAUCUCUGUGUUAUGGAUGCACUCAGUACUUCUAGUGAGUUUUCUCCAAAAUCAAGCACGCCAUCUGUGCCCUGUUUGGAUAUAGACAUUAUUUUUAAUUCCUUUCUGUUAGGUGUCACUCAGCACCUGCAAAUGUAUUCUCAUCUUUGAUGUGUGAUCGCUUGAUUAUUCAAGCUCUCUCAUCAAACUUAACUUGUAGUUGUUGCACCUGUACUGACAGCAUCUGUUCUGCCUGUGCUACAGGAUGGCCUCCAAACCAAACUCCUUGCAGGUCUGGUCUCCCAUGGCCUUGCUGCGUAUGCUACUUUGAAAAUGUGUGUGUACAAUGUUAACCUGUCACAAUUCUCCUCUGUCACAUACCUAUUUUAUACACAGAGGUUCUAAUGGAGAACUCAUUUUUGGAUUGCUGAUGUGCUCUCUUGAAAUGACUCAGGGUGAUUCCUUUGGAGCAUCCCUUUAGACCUGGAUUGGUUGAUGUAAAGAAAAAUAAUGGCAGUGUUGCAAGGGCUUUGCUGUACAGCUCCUUUCAGAUAAGUCGUGUGGGUUCCUGCCUGGCUAGCUUGAUCAUGUCUCUCUUUUUCACAUGACGUGAGUGUUUCAGAAAGAUCUCUAUACUAGGGACAAAAAAAAACUUGAAAACUCUUGAAAAUCUGAAACAGUUUUACUCCAAUUAGGUGGGAGGAGAUCAGAGUUUUAGGCUGAAAUGAAGUACAAUCCCUUUGAAGUGCUGAAUAAAUAGUAGCAGCCUUCAGAAGGAAGAGAACUGACAAUGUCUGAGUUUUACUGAGAUGUAAAAUAAAAUUUAUUAGCUACGGCAGAAAAGGUGAUGUGUUGCUUUGUUUUUAAUUCCUGCUCUCAUCCCUUCCUGCAGACUUCCAACCUUCCAUAACCUACGAUUUUUUUUUUUUUUAAUAUGAUGACAAACACUUUGACUUGUUUAAUUGGAUGCUAUGUAACUAAUUCACUCUGUGCGACUCUUAGAAAAUAUGGCAGAAUUACCGGGAUGGACUUUGAUCUUAAGUCUAUCUUAAGAUCAAGACUGCCCAAGUAAGUGGAGGUACCACUGCCAAUGACUAAUACUACAGUGAAUAAUUUAAUAUACUUGUACAACUACAUUUAUUUCUGGUCCCCAAAGCAUAGUGUAUAGAAACAGAGGCUUUUGUAUACUUGGAGUGCAUAAUAAAGUAUGGUAAAACAGAGCAACUAAUAGGAAGAAAAAUGUAUGUAUGUGUGGGCAAACCUUGAUUUUGCCAAAAGAAUGUAACUUGCUGCUGUUUUAAUUUGUGAUGUGAAUACAGCAAAUCUGCAAUUAAGCCUUCUAGCAGGUCUGUGGGAUUGGUAAUUGUUUUGUAAUCCUUCCUUGGAACGCAAUAAAUGCAAACAGUAAU
rnacentral:lncRNA from 1 species